rnacentral:sRNA from 1 species
UUUUUUGUACUUUUAGUAGAGAUGGGGUUUUGCCAUGUUAGCCAGGCUGGUCUCAAACUCCUGACCUCAGGUGAUCCGCCCACCUCGGCCUCCCAAAGUGCUGGGCUUACAGGUGUGAGCCACCACACCCGGCCCCACUUGCUUUAGGUUUAGUUGAUUCCUGUUGUCCAGGAUCUUAAGACGAAAGGUCAGGUCACUGAUUUGAGAUCUUUCUUCUCUUGAGACAGGAUCUCGCUCUCGGAAGUGGGAAGAGGUACUGGGGCAGGUGGGAAUGUGAGUUCAGGAGCGGAGGCUGUGGCUGGUGGAAGGCGGCCAGCAGAGGAAAUAGAAUGCUAUAAACCAUAGAGGAGGAGUGGGGAAGGCAGACGAGGGGUCACACCUGUCAUGACAUGAGCAGGAAGUCAGUACGAUGCCCAAAGAGGAUACGUUAAAGAGUUAGGAUAACGCUGUGGUCUAAUGACAGUGUAAAGGGGUUGCCAGGGAGGAGGGUCAGAGAAGGAAGUCUGUGGCUUUCAUCAUCAGGCCUGGUGUUCUGCUCAGCCUUUUUUAACCAUGCAUUGCUUUGAUAACUUUUAAACAUCUUUGGUUAUCUGUGGUCCUGGUUGUUGUAGGUUGCUAGGUCUAAUGUCAUAACUGUAAUUAUUUGCUAUAAUAAAGUGAGACAGGAUGAUAUCCAUUUGCUGUCUUUGUAAACUUGUGUCAAUGGAAAUCGUCACAGAAUAAUGGACAGUUUCUGCCAAUUGUCUAUUCUCUCUGGACUAUACACAGAGAGACUAGAACAGUGAACCCCUAAGUCCCCAUCACACAAGUGAAUAAGAUUCUGGUCUUCGUUGCUUCUCCAUGUUGUGUUGUUGGGUUUGCAAGAGCAUUUUAAGUCAUCAUGUCAGUCACGACCACUUCCCUGUGCCUCUCUGAUGAGGACAUCAGUGGUAACCUCCCCACUGGCGCUGUCACACCUGACAAGGUCAACAGCACUCCCCUCGCAUCAUGGAAUGGGCAGUCUGUGUCCAGAUGGCUCUAGUUGACCAAAAAGCAGCUUCUUACAGUUGACUUCCCCCCAUUGACUUUGAACAGAUUGUUAUUACUCGAAAGUCUCCUUUUUUCCACCAUUUCAUAACCUCUGGCUUGUUCUGUCUUCCCAGGCCAUGAGUGCGGCUGUGUGCUUUAUGAUCGACGGUGGGUACGCGCCUUUGUCUGAUUUCGGCCUAAGCUUUUUGUACUUUGCUGCAUCCUAUUCUUAAGUGAUAAAUAUGUUUUGGGGGUUUCCGUUGUUUGGGGUGUUUUUGUUGGAGACAGGGUUUCACUCUUGGAGUGCAGUGGCAUGAUCAUAGCUCACUGUAGCCUCGACCUCCUGGGUUCAAGUGAUCUUCCCACCUUGGCCUCCUAAGUCGCUGGGACUGCCAGCACACACCGCCGGACCCAGCUAAUGUUUUUGUUGUUGUUUGUUUAGACAGGGUCUCACUAUGUUGCCCGGGCUGGUGUCAAACUCCUGGGCUCAAGCGAUCCCCCCAUCUUAGCCUCCCAAAGUGCUGGGAUUUCGGGCGUGAGCCCCCACACCCAGCCCAUUAAAUGAUAAAUGUGUUGUCAUAAGCAAUAUAGAGGCAUAGAGAGGAGCCCUGUUCCCCAUCUGGGACCCCCCUGUCUCCUUAACUAGCCAUUGCUCAUAUUUUUUAAGUCCUAGGUUUCCCGCUAGUCAGCAGUAGAGUGUGGGCAUCUUUCUGUGCCCCGCCGACUGCAAGCUGGAGACAGCAGUGGUACCUCUCUCGGGGGGGUUCUGAGGAUCGAAUGAGGUCGUGCCUGUGAAGCACCUGGCCCAUGAGUGCUACGUAAUGUUUGUCAAAUAAACAUACGACCUUCUGAGGUCUUUCUGGGGUAGGCAACCGUUUACCACCCCACAGGGUGUGCCUCAGUCAACUUUUCACGGUGAGAUAGGUCUUCGCCUUUUUUUCAUCUGAAAUGUAACCGGUUUUGUAUCUUCUGUUUCUCUUCUAUUUGAGGAGCAGAAGGGGGCCUGAGCAUUCAUGGUUUGUUUUCCCAGACCAGUGAAGUUUUCGUUGGAAUACUGUUGUUCAGCGUCGCACAGUAAAAUGAAUCUUACUGGUAUUUUUUGUCAUGACUUGCCAGCCUCUAUCCACCCAACGUUGGAUUUUUGCCGAAGACUGGACAGCAUCGUUGGGCCCCAGCUCACAGUGCUGGCCUCUGACAUCUGCGAGCAGUUUAACAUCAACAAGAGGAUGUCUGGGUCUGAGAAAGAACCCCAGUUUAAGUUUAUCUACUUCAACCACAUGAAUCUCGCCGAGAAGAGCACAGUUCACAUGAGGAAAACGCCCAGCGUGUCGCUCACUUCCGUGCACCCGGAUUUAAUGAAGAUUCUCGGGGACAUCAACAGUGACUUUACCAGAGUGGAUGAAGAUGAGGAGAUCAUUGUGAAGGCCAUGAGUGAUUACUGGGUUGUUGGAAAGAAGUCUGAUCGGCGGGAGCUCUAUGUUAUUUUGAAUCAAAAAAAUGCAAACCUGAUUGAAGUAAAUGAAGAGGUCAAGAAACUUUGUGCAACGCAGUUCAACAACAUCUUCUUCUUGGAUUGACGGAUGACGGCUCACCGAGAGCUUAUCUAAAAACCACUCUGCAAACAUGUGGUCACAUGCAAGUUAGUGGUCAUAUGACGGACUGCAUUCAGGACAAGGGUAAAGCAAUACUUGCUUUGAAGAAUCACAUUUCGACUCGGUCUGCUGAUCUGAGGUUUUUAGAUUUUAAAUAUUUAUGUGGAAUUAAUUAAAGGUAGUUGGCUAUAUUGCUAUCAUUUCAUUCCUUUGACAUUAUGUGAAUAUUUUACUGGAAAAUAAGACUAAUAAAUUGUUAAAAGUUUUU